ACGAAGGGGACUAGCGUUGUUCGGAAUCACUGGGCGUAAAGCGCACGUAGGCGGAUUCGUAAGUCAGGGGUGAAAUCCCGGGGCUCAACCUCGGAACUGCCUUUGAUACUGCGGGUCUUGAGUCCGAUAGAGGUGGGUGGAAUUCCUAGUGUAGAGGUGAAAUUCGUAGAUAUUAGGAAGAACACCGGUGGCGAAGGCGGCCCACUGGAUCGGUACUGACGCUGAGGCACGAAAGCCAGGGGAGCAAACGGGA
rnacentral:rRNA from 1 species